rnacentral:misc_RNA from 1 species
CCCGGUUUGUCACCGGCAGUCUCCCAUGAGUCCCCAACUGAAUGCUGGCAACAUGGAACAGGGGUUGCGCUCGUCGCGGGACUUAACCCAACACCUCACGGCACGAGCUGACGACAACCAUGCACCACCUGUGUACGGCCCCGAAGGACACCAUAUCUCUAUGGCUUUUCCGUACAUUUCAAGCCUUGGUAAGGUUCUUCGCGUUGCUUCGAAUUAAGCCACAUGCUCCGCCGCUUGUGCGGGCCCCCGUCAAUUCCUUUGAGUUUUAAUCUUGCGACCGUACUCCCCAGGCGGAAUGCUUAAUGCGUUAGCUGCGUCACCGACAUGCAUGCAUGCCGACAACUAGCAUUCAUCGUUUACGGCGUGGACUAC